GGUCCAAUAGUCUAGUCGGUUAGGACGUGGGAUUCUGAUUCCCAAGACCUCGGUUCGAAUCCGGGUUGGACCU